GUGUUCCUACGGGGGGCAGCAGUCGAGAAUCAUUCACAAUGGGGGAAACCCUGAUGGUGCGACGCCGCGUGAGUGAAGAAGUAUUUCGGUAUGUAAAGCUCUAUCAGCAGGGAAGAUAAUGACGGUACCUGAGUAAGAAGCCCCGGCUAACUACGUGCCAGCGGCCGCGGUAAUACGUAGGGGGCAAGCGUUAUCCGGAUUUACUGGGUGUAAAGGGAGCGUAGACGGCAUGGCAAGUCUGAAGUGAAAGCCCGGGGCUCAACCGCGGGACUGCUUUGGAAACUGUUAAGCUGGAGUGCAGGAGA
rnacentral:rRNA from 1 species